rnacentral:rRNA from 1 species
GAAGUUGACAGUGGCGCACGGGUGCGUAACGCGUAUGCAACCUACCCUUUACUGGGGGAUAGCCCGGAGAAAUUCGGAUUAAUACCCCAUAGUAUUUACAGAUGGCAUCUGAAGUAAAUUAAAGAUUUAUUGGUAAAGGAUGGGCAUGCGUGACAUUAGCUAGUUGGUGAGGUAACGGCUCACCAAGGCAACGAUGUCUAGGGGUUCUGAGAGGAUGAUCCCCCACACUGGUACUGAGAUACGGACCAGACUCCUACGGGAGGCAGCAGCAGGGAAUAUUGGUCAAUGGGCGAGAGCCUGAACCAGCCAUGCCGCGUGCAGGAAGACGGCUUUCUGAGUUGUAAACUGCUUUUAUAUGGGAAGAAAAAGUCCUUGCGAGGAAAAUUGCCGGUACCAUAUGAAUAAGCACCGGCUAACUCCGUGCCAGCAGCCGCGGUAAUACGGAGGGUGCAAGCGUUGUCCGGAUUUAUUGGGUUUAAAGGGUGCGUAGGCGGAUCUUUAAGUCAGUGGUGAAAUCCUGCAGCUUAACUGUAGAACUGCCAUUGAUACUGGAGGUCUUGAGUAUACUAGAGGUAGGCGGAAUUUAUGGUGUAGCGGUGAAAUGCAUAGAUACCAUAAAGAACACCGAUAGCGUAGGCAGCUUACUGGAGUAUAACUGACGCUGAGGCACGAAAGCAUGGGUAGCGAACAGGAUUAGAUACCCUGGUAGUCCAUGCCGUAAACGAUGAUUACUCGAUGUUGGCGAUAUACUGUCAGCGUCCAAGCGAAAGCGUUAAGUAAUCCACCUGGGGAGUACGCUCGCAAGAGUGAAACU